GUCUGUUAUAAGCUUGUCAGGAACCUAAAUUCAUAUGCAAGCUUUUUGGGUUUGAGCUAGGCUCUUGUAUCUUGCAGAUGGGGUGUUAAGAAACCUCAAAUCAUGAAAAAUUUUGUCACAAUCUUGUCGAAUGCAGGUCUUGGGAUGGCCAUGUUCAGUCUCAGACUGUUCAUGGCCUUGCAGCCAAGAAUCAUAGCCUGUGGGACUCAACUUGACGCAUACGGAAUGGUUGUGAGGUUCCUCACUAGCCCGGCUGUCAUGGCGAUCGCAUCUAUUGGGG